rnacentral:rRNA from 1 species
UACAGAGGUCUCAAGCGUUGUUCGGAUUCAUUGGGCGUAAAGGGUGCGUAGGUGGCGGGGUAAGUCAGGUGUGAAAUCUCGGGGCUCAACCCCGAAACUGCAUUUGAUACUGCCUUGCUCGAGUACUGGAGAGGAGAUUGGAAUUUACGGUGUAGCAGUGAAAUGCGUAGAUAUCAGGAGGAACACCGAUGGCGAAGGCGGGUCUCUGGGAAGUAACUGACGCUGAGAAGCGAAAGCGUGGGUAGCGAACAGG